rnacentral:rRNA from 1 species
GACCUCAGAUCAGGUGUGAUUACCCGCUGACGUUAAGCAUAUCAAUAAGCGGAGGAA